GAGGAGCUGUCACAUGCUCCUCUAACCCCUGGAACACGGAGGAUGUCACACAGCAUGGCCCUUGUCUAAAUGUGAUGGUGGUUAUGGCUGCUACUCUUGGCUACUUACUCCAUUGUCCCAACCUGAUUCUCCUGCUGAACACAGUUACAAUCAUGCACAUAAGUCUACGCGGAAUGUGAUAGAAAGAUGUUUUGGGGUGCUGAAAUCUAGGUUUCGGUGUCUGGAUAAAUUUGCUGGCCUUUUGUUGUAUAGUCCCUCAAAGGUGACUAGGAUUGUGUUCUGCUGCUGUUUUCUUCAUAAUCUGUGUUUGAACCAACAUCUUCCACAUGAUGAUGAAGAAAACAGCCAGCAAGUAGGUGAGUUAGAAACAUCUGGUGACAGUGUGAGUACAGAUGUAGGGAGGCAGGUAAGGCAAGAAGUUAUUCUGCGUUAUUUUACCGGUAAGUAUUAUUUAGUUUAAAAUAACCUUGACUAACCACUUUUAUUAAAUGUAUUGUAGGUGUGAAUGUUUGUUUUGUUGCGUUAGUGUUUGUUCUUUAUACUGGUCUGUACAUUUAUACUGUAAUUUAAAUAACUUACAGUGUCACUCAUUAGCACAUUAAACCAUACACACAUUGCGUCUUUUAAAAUGAUUUGCACUGACACAUGCAUUUUUGGUGAAACAAUACCAAAAAAUUUAUUGUGUUACAAACAUUUGAUGCAUCCUUCCUUAUUUUUUUUUGUGUGUGCUGGGUGCAGAGGUUUGACCAGGGUCGUUGGCCCGUGUUCUGCUGGAGCGUCGAACAGGGGAGGUAACUGGGGUCUGGCUUGGGGUAGUAGUUCCGGAGCUUGAGCUGACUUGUUGGGAUGCCAAUACAUUAAUACUUUGGCUGAGGUUGUGUAUGCUCGCAUUAAGUUGGUUAUUUGUGGCAGUGUGGCUGGCAAUAAUUCUAGAUACAUUUUCGUGGACCACUUGGUUGUGCUGUAUUACUUGGAUUAGGGCUUGUUGCUGCCGCUGUUGUUCAUCGAUGAUUCUUGUUCAAUUUGAAAGCAUUUGACUGUUGUCCGCCCUCAUUUGUUCCAUAGAAGUUGCUAUUCUUCCAACCUGAACAAUCAGUCUGCCUGAGUUCCGACUGAUGCGAGGAAGAUGAUGGGGCAGACUGCCAAGGUGUUGGGUGUGGGUGUUUAGGUAGGCCGAGUUUUGUGCCUGUUGUGUGGCUCAACUGUUCCAAAAGUCAGGGGACAUUUCUUGCUGGGGUGGUGGUGGCAUCAAUUGGGGGCUAACGGAUGCUUGUGGUAUGUCCUGCUGCGGGGUUGGCUGGGUAGGAUCAAUGGGCUGCAGGUGUAGUGUGAAGGUAGGCUGCUGGUCAGUUUCCUGCUGGGCGUCCUCGACCAUGAUGGGUGGUUCUGUAUGGGGUUGAUAACAGCCACUAUUUAGUAUAAAUAAUAUAUAUUUGCUUGACCAAAACAUGGCUUACUUAAUAAUACUAAUGUUGAAAAUGUUACAGAGUUUGUGUGCUCAAAUUAACUAGGAAUCUUACCUUUUGAAACACAUAUGUGCCUUCUAAUUUACAAAACUGAAUAGUAAAAAUAAUUUGUAAGUUCUCGGACUCUAAGCCAUAAUGAUUGUGCAAACACGAAGAUCUUUCGCCAUUUUACAUUAAUGCAUUUCAAGAUUGUGUAUGCCCCUUCCUUUUGUGAACCACACACAUUGCAGUAAAUGUGGUUUGUUACACACUCAUAAAUUGAUAAAGCCAGUCAGGGUUUGUUUUUUUUUUUUAAUUUGUAUUAAAUUAAUUUUAAUUAUGAAAUCUUAAAGAACCAUGCAAAUGUCUUAAGGUGGCCUAUGUUUCGAAAUGGAGAUGUUGGCCAUGGCAAUCAUUUGGCUUAAAGAUUACAUUUAUGUUUUUUAUUGUGGUUAAAAAUAAUUCCAUAAAAAAUGGUUGCUAUGGGCAACAUCACAUCUGAAAAUGAAAACCAAAAAAAAGCACAAAUACCAUGUGCUUGUUGUUUGAGAUUAUUGCCUGUAAUAAGAAAUUACACAAAUAUAAUUGUAUUGACACUACACAAAACAGUGGUGCAGCAGAAUUAACCAGGAGAAGACCUAAGGAUUUGAAACGACAAUGAUAUGUGCAAGGUGAUAAAGGCACAAGCCAAUGACGAACCAAAUUGUUAAAGUUUAAUUUAACACUUUUUCUUCAUAUAACACCUUGCACAUAUCAGUGGUUUUUCACAUCAUUUUGCCUUAUCCAGGUUAAUUCAUAGACCACACUGUUUUACAUUUUUGUGACAAUUAUCUUUUAUGUUUACUCACCAGACAGCUGAGGUGAUUGUGGUUCCUCGCUUUCUGGACUUGCCAAAAUUGCCUGUGGUGGCUGGGGCAACACUGCGGAGAUGCGCCUCCGGGGUGGUGAUGAUGGAGCCGCAGACUCAGGCUCAAGACGACGUCUCUUGGUUGGCCUCCUUGGCACACUCACCGAUCCCUGUGAUGGGCGCUUUAGUGGAGGGCGGCUUGCAGAAGAAGAACCUAUGUGAUAAGAGAAACAUUAAUAUUUGGAUCUUCUAUGUGUUUGCUGAAUAUGUGAUUACAGUGAAUUCUUACCUGCAUUCCCACCAUCUGCAUCACUUGGCAGUGUUGGCUGGGGCCUGGCUGUGGUGCUUCUCUGGCGUACUGUUGAAAAAUGUGACAAAACCAAAUGAACAUACUUUGAAUACUCAUUGUUAUCUUAAAUUCCUUAUUGUGAUGUAAACAUCUGGAACCUAAUGAUAAGUAAACCAUUUUAUGUUUAA